ACAACUAAUUUCCCUCCCAAAUGAAGGGUUUUGUCUAUCACUCGGGUGUUUCAAUAGCAACCGUGUAAUUAAGGUAGCGUGCGCCUCUCCAGUUUGCGAGGCAGGCUGUUUGCGUUAACAUGUUGGGGAAGCAAAACAUGGCUUGGGCUGCUUCCUGGGUCCAAGGAGGGGAAAGCAAAGAGUCAAAGAAACCAUCUCCACAUAGAGGCUUGGCUCCUGCAGUGAUGAUGUCAUCUGGAAACUAUCGGGAGCUCCCGCAGCCGGGUGGGUCUCUGCUGCAUCCCCGGGGCCUCCGCUGUGCCUGGGGCAUCGCUGCCCUCCUUGAGACGUGUUCGAUGAGUGGACGGAGCCUUAGAGAUCCCUGGCUUGGGCUGCUGAGCGGGACGUCUGCAGUCCUCGAAGAGCCCAGAUGUUGCACCAAACGCUCUGCUCCGCCGCUUUGCAGACGUCAGCCCACUGCUCUCUGGAUGGUUCUGAGGCCGCUGCUUGCAGCCAGGAUGGGUCUCAGUGUCAGAGGGGUUCGGACAGACCUGCUGGCAAAGCCUCCUUUUCCUGCGGGCGUUGGGCUGAUGCCCUCGGAUUUUUUUUUUUUUUAACCAGACUAACUGGUUUGCUCAGGAGAAGAACACAACAAAUAGAUGUAUUCUUCCCUGGUCCCAAUAAUCAUUCAGUAUCACUAUGAACUUAUAGGUUCUUUCUUUCUUUUUUUUUUUUAACUCAGUGUGUUCAUAUUUCUUUCCACACAUUUUUUAUAGCCAAAUAUUUUUACGUUUGUCUAAUAGAAGCUCUUUCAUCAUAGCUUUUUCUGCCUUUCUAUUUGUUCCCUUCUUCCUGUGAGUACUUCUCAGCUUUCUGGUAUAAAAUACCUGCCCAGAACGUUCAGGAAAGGUCAACAUCCUAAGAGACGAGUGAUGGCACACUGUUCUAUAUUAAGGAGAAUGAAAGGAUCAGGAGAGCUAAAUGCCUGCCACGUGUGAUCCUGAGAUGAAGAAAGGAAAGCACGAAAUCCAGACUGUAUGUUAGACUGUGUUACUGUGUUGGCAUUGACUAGCAUGGAUGUGAAAACGGGACCGACAUUCUGUAGGAAAAUGUCUUUUUCCUUAGGAGACACACACUGCAGGUUUUAGAAAUGAAAUCUCAUGAUCUUUACACCAUCAUCUCAAGUGAUUUAGCCAGAAAAGGAAAACCACACACACACACACACACACACACACGCACGCACUAGCGCCUGUGGACGGGGUGACCACAUGUGGCCUGGCUUGGGGUUGUCAGCUGGAGAGUCUAGGUGAAGGAUAUAAGGAUGUUCACUGUGCUACUCUGAACUUUUCAUUCGGGUGGACAUUUACCAAAAAAGUUGGGAAAAAUAAAAUAAAACAAGGCAAAAAGAU